UGCGUAGGCGGAAUAUUAAGUCAGUGGUGAAAUCCUGCGGCUCAACCGUAGAACUGCCAUUGAUACUGAUAUUCUUGAAUGUAGUUGAGGUAGGCGGAACGUGUAAUGUAGCGGUGAAAUGCUUAGAUAUUACACAGAACACCGAUUGCGAAGGCAGCUUACUAAACUAUGAUUGACGCUGAGGCACGAAAGCGUGGGGAGCGAACAGGAUUAGAUACCCUGGUAGUCC
rnacentral:rRNA from 1 species